UACGUAGGUGGCGAGCGUUAUCCGGAAUUAUUGGGCGUAAAGAGCGCGCAGGUGGUUGAUUAAGUCUGAUGUGAAAGCCCACGGCUUAACCGUGGAGGGUCAUUGGAAACUGGUCGACUUGAGUGCAGAAGAGGGAAGUGGAAUUCCAUGUGUAGCGGUGAAAUGCGUAGAGAUAUGGAGGAACACCAGUGGCGAAGGCGGCUUCCUGGUCUGUAACUGACACUGAGGCGCGAAAGCGUGGGGAGGCAAACAGGAUUAGAUACCCCGGUA
rnacentral:rRNA from 1 species